GACGAACGCUGGCGGCGUGCCUAAUACAUGCAAGUCGAGCGAAUGGAUUAAGAGCUUGCUCUUAUGAAGUUAGCGGCGGACGGGUGAGUAACACGUGGGUAACCUGCCCAUAAGACUGGGAUAACUCCGGGAAACCGGGGCUAAUACCGGAUAACAUUUUGAACCGCAUGGUUCGAAAUUGAAAGGCGGCUUCGGCUGUCGAUUAUGGAUGGACACGCGUCGCAUUAGCUAGUUGGUGAGGUAACGGCUCACCAAGGCAACGAUGCGUAGCCGACCUGAGAGGGUGAUCGGCCACACUGGGACUGAGACACGGCCCAGACUCCUACGGGAGGCAGCAGUAGGGAAUCUUCCGCAAUGGACGAAAGUCUGACGGAGCAACGCCGCGUGAGUGAUGAAGGCUUUCGGGUCGUAAAACUCUGUUGUUAGGGAAGAACAAGUGCUAGUUGAAUAAGCUGGCACCUUGACGGUACCUAACCAGAAAGCCACGGCUAACUACGUGCCAGCCGCCGCGGUAA
rnacentral:rRNA from 1 species